rnacentral:rRNA from 1 species
ACUGAAUAGAUACCCAGGUAGUCCACGCCGUAAACGAUGAGUACUGGGUGUAGGUGGGGUUAGAGCCAUCUGUGCCGAAAGCAAACGCGUUAAGUACUCCGCCUGGGGAGUACGGCCGCAAGGCUAAAAACUCAAAGGAAUUGACGGGGGCCCGGCACAAGCAGCGGAGCGUGUGGUUUAAAUUACGAUGCAACACGAAGAACCUUACCCAGGUUUGUACAUGCACGUAGUAGUGAAGCGAAAGCGGAACGACCCUUCGGGGUAGCGUGCACAGGUGCUGCAUGGCUGUCGUCAGCUCGUGUCGUGAGAUGUUGGGUUUAAACGUCCCGCAACGAGCGCAACCCCGUGUUGCUAGUUACACGUGUCUAGCGAGACUGCCGGUAUCAAGCUGGAGGAAGGUGGGGUAUGACGUCAAGUCAGCAUGGCCUUUAUAUCUGGGGUCUACACACACGCUACAAUGGGUCGGUACAACGGGAACGUCGAAGGGGUCGACCUGGAGCGAAUCCCACCGAAACGCCGUUCGUAGUUCAGAUUGCAGGCUGCAACUC